rnacentral:tRNA from 1 species
GCUGUUGUAGCUCAGUGGUAGAGCACUUCCUUGGUAAGGAAGAGGUCCCGAGUUCAAUCCUCGGCAACAGCU